rnacentral:rRNA from 1 species
UACGUAGGGUGCAGGCGUUAAUCGGAAUUACUGGGCGUAAGGCGUGCGCAGGCGGUUGUGUAAGACAGGUGUGAAAUCCCCGGGCUUAACCUGGGAAUUGCAUUUGUGACUGCACGGCUAGAGUUUGGCAGAGGGGGGUAGAAUUCCACGUGUAGCAGUGAAAUGCGUAGAUAUGUGGAGGAAUACCGAUGGCGAAGGCAGCCCCCUGGGUCAAGACUGACGCUCAUGCACGAAAGCGUGGGGAGCAAACAGG